rnacentral:lncRNA from 1 species
GUAAGUAUGUUAAGCACAUAUAACACUGAACUCACUCCAGACCCUCCUUGGAUGCCUUUUAUCACACUGCAAAAGCAAACUUCUUUAAAAAGCUUAACAGUCCAUUGGAUUGAGCAAAAUUGUACAUGUAUUCUUAAAAAAAGGGACAGGUUAUUUUUUUUUUUUUCUGUCUCCCAGUUAUUCUAAAUGAUAUUACAAAAAAAAAAUAGUUACAUAAGAAACAAAGAUUUUGGGCUGGAGAGAUUUUAUUACUCAAAACAAAGACUUGUAGAACAAGCUUUUGAAGAAGUUAAAAAUUUGGCAAUUUUAUUUGUGCUGAGGACAGAACCCAGGGUUUUGUAUUUACUAUACAGGCAUUCUACCACUGAGCUACAUCCCCAGCCACAGCACAUUUAAUAAGAUAUUGUUAAAAAAGAUUUGUUUUAUUUUAUGAGAGUUUUGCCUACACAUAUGUAUAUUCACUAUGCUGGGUGCCCAAGGUGAUUAAAAGAGCGCAUCAGAUCCUCUGGAACUGUAGUAAUAGGUGGGUGUGAGGUACCAUGUGGGUGCUGGCAAUGAACCUGGGUCUUCUGCAAGAGCAGCCAGUGCUCUUAACUGCUUAGCUACCUCUCCUUGCCAAUUUAACUUUAAAAUUAUUUAUUUUAAAGGUACUAUGUAGGAUAUUAAUCUUGGUCCCAGGUAUUUGCUUUAAAUUUAUUUGCACACAUGCAAAUAAAUAAUUUUGAUUUUCAUUUACUAUGAGGUGAUUCUAAAGCUUUGUACUAAGUUUUUUUUGUUUGUUUUUAAAUAGCACAGCAAGAAGGAUGCCUGUUGUAUGGUCCUUACAGAAGUCAGCUUGUACGAUUAUAUGCAUCUGUUUUGAGCAAUCUGUUACCAUUGUGAUGCAUUUCUCGUAUUGAUUCAGUUUGUUAUAGGUCACAUGAGAAGUCUUACUUUUGUAUCAUUUGCAAUGGGUAACCCCAAAUUCAGUGGAAAUAUUUUUCUUUUUUAUCACACCCUAAGGUCUUUACAGUGUUUCUACAUAUUAAAUUUAUUCUGUAAGGCUAAGAUUUAUCGCCAGUGGGAAAUUCAAAGGAAUGGACUAUGGGUCAGUCAAGCAGCUCCCACGAGGCCCAGCUGUCUGAGCAAGGCAUAAGGCUAGCCAUUAGCCCAUCCAAAGGACAUCAUGUGGAACAAAAAACUUUAUAGGUAAUUUUUUGGGUUUUUUUUUGGUACUACUUUUUAAGUAACAGUUUUAUACUUAAGCUGGAAUGCAACUCUGCUCCCAUUUUUAACAACAGAUGUAAUGCCUAGAGAUUAAGAACAGUUUGGGGGGCAGGGCACUCACAUGAAUCC